UACGAGGGGGGCAAAUGUUGUUCGGAAUCACUGGGCGUAAAGGGAGCGUAGGCGGGUGUUUAAGUUAGGUGUUUAAUCCUGGGGCCCAACCCCAGUCGUGCACCUAAAACUGGACAUCUUGAAUAGUGGAGAGGUCAGUGGAAUUGGGGGUGUAGCGGUGGAAUGCGUAGAGAUCCCCAAGAACACCAGUUGCGAAGGCGGCUGACUGGACACAUAUUGACGCUGAGGCUCGAAAGCAUGGGGAGCAAACAGA
rnacentral:rRNA from 1 species